GACGAACGCUGGCGGCGUGCUUAACACAUGCAAGUCGAACGGAAAGGCCCUGCUUUUGUGGGGUGCUCGAGUGGCGAACGGGUGAGUAACACGUGAGUAACCUGCCCUUGACUUUGGGAUAACUUCAGGAAACUGGGUCUAAUACCGGAUAGGAGCUCCUGCUGCAUGGUGGGGGUUGGAAAGUUUCGGCGGUUGGGGAUGGACUCGCGGCUUAUCAGCUUGUUGGUGGGGUAGUGGCUUACCAAGGCUUUGACGGGUAGCCGGCCUGAGAGGGUGACCGGCGACAUUGGGACUGAGAGACGGACCAGACUCCUACAGGAGGCAGCAGUGGGGAAUAUUGCACAAUGGGCGGAAGCCUGAUGCAGCAACGCCGCGUGCGGGAUGACGGCCUUCGGGUUGUAAACCGCUUUCGCCUGUGACGAAGCGUGAGUGACGGUAAUGGGUAAAGAAGCACCGGCUAACUACGUG
rnacentral:rRNA from 1 species